GACGAACGCUGGCGGCGUGCUUAACACAUGCAAGUCGAACGGAAGGGCCCUGCUUUUGUUGGGUGCUCGAGUGGCGAACGGGUGAGUAACACGUGAGUAACCUGCCCUUGACUUUGGGAUAACUUCAGGAAACUGGGGCUAAUACCGGAUAGGAGCUCCUGCUGCAUGGUGGGGGUUGGAAAGUUUCGGCGGUUGGGGAUGGACUCGCGGCUUAUCAGCUUGUUGGUGGGGUAGUGGCUUACCAAGGCUUUGACGGGUAGCCGGCCUGAGAGGGUGACCGGCCACAUUGGGACUGAGAUACGGCCCAGACUCCUACGGGAGGCAGCAGUGGGGAAUAUUGCACAAUGGGCGGAAGCCUGAUGCAGCAACGCCGCGUGCGGGAUGACGGCCUUCGGGUUGUAAACCGCUUUCGCCUGUGACGAAGCGUGAGUGACGGUAAUGGGUAAAGAAGCACCGGCUAACUACGUG
rnacentral:rRNA from 1 species